rnacentral:rRNA from 1 species
AGAUACCUUAGUAUAUUUAAAAUGAUGAGUUGGGAGGAAUAAGAGAAAAAAUUAAAAAUAGUGGCGGUUAAAUUAUUAGGUAGAGGAGCUUGUUUUAUAAUAGAAUUUACUCUUUAAAUUUUAUUAUAUAAAAGGAGGUUUAUUCAUCUCCGUUAUUAGAUGAAUUGAAAAUAAGUAUUUUUCUUAAUAUAUCAGGUCAAGAUGUAGCAUUAUUUAAUUUAAAUUAGCUACAUUUUUAGAAAAAUGGAUUUGAAGAGAUUUUAUAAAGAGAAAAUGAAUUUAAUUGUAAUUUGAUUUAAAAUGAUGGAAUGAAUUAGGUAUAAUUAAUGUUCAUAUUGCCCGUCACUUCUAUAUAAUAAAUAGAGUAAGUCGUAACAAAGUA